UUCACACACUGCUCUCCCGUUAUUUGCCUCCUUCCCUCCCGGUCGCCCCUUCCUCCUCCUCCUCCUCCUCCUCCUCCUUUUCCAGUUCAGCGGCGCAAAUUUCUGUUUGUGCCAGUGGGGCGGCCUGGCGAAACCGCAAUUGCUCUACCCCACAGAUUGACGAGCCCUCAGAUGCCGAUUUACUGUACAUGGCAGCCACGCUGGAGCCGAGGCACAUCUGGAGUGGAGUAAGCUUACUCAGAAACAGGGGCCAGCUCCAGCCCGAGCCAGCGGAGCUGAGCAGGGCGCUGAAAGGCAGCCCUCCUGCCUCCCCUUCCCUCCUCCCCGGAUCCCAGUAGGAGAGGGCCAAAAUUCCUCAUGAACCACCUUGGCCGCGUCUCAGCCUUUUCACCUUGGGAAGCACCGGGCAUUACCUCCCUAAGACUCUUUAAAAACCACUCGAGGUGAAAUUCCGUAAGGAGGAGACUGACUGCGUGGCAGAGGUGUUGGUCAGCUUGGAAAGCCUGAACUGCACAUCUCCAAGGUUGGGCAUUACGACAGAAGAACAGAAGGUUUUGAUAACCUGUAUUCUGGUGCCAAGGUCUUAGCUCACUGGGCAUUUAUAAUCCAAAUAGAUUCCGGGCAAAUAUCUGUUGACAGGGAAGAAAAACAAAGGAAGCAAACAAAAUUAGAGAAGAAAAGCCAUGGCAAAGCCAGGUGCCCUCAUGAAGUCCUUUGACAAGAUGAGUCAUGAUUUUGGAGAAUUAAUAACUGUAGACAGCAUUGAUAUUCCAGUGAAAAUGAGAUGGGAUACUUUAUGUUGCAGUCUUAAUGCGUUGUUUUGACGAAGGCACAGGAAUGCCACUAGCAACCUAUGUAAAAAGCUUAUAUACAGCUUUUUGCAUAAAAUUUUCUCAGAGUGUCCCACUAGGGAAUACUGCAACCAUGGUCCCUCUGCCUGAAGAUUAAACUCCCCAGCCAAUGCAUCUCCACCACCUUGAACCCAUCAGCUUCUUGGAUGAUUAAUUUUCCCAUUGAAGAGGAUUUUUUCACAUGAACACUGAUACAUGGUACCCUUUCUAAAGAACUGUGCAGGGCCUACCAUUUUCUAUUUCAAAUGUGGUUCUCAGUGUUUGUCCCCUUUUCUGCAUUUUUUGCAUUUUUUCCAUUAAGCAGUCAUUUAAUAAGAAAAAAUAAAAAGGAAUAGCUCUAGAAGCAGAGACUGUGAGCCAGGAGGGCUUUCUAGAUACCAUCAAGGUGCCUUGAUUAAUGGACUUAUAGUCUUAUUUUUCAGCUUGCUUCUUUGUCUGACUGCGUUAUGUGGCUUUACAAACAGUGGGUCGUCUUCAACAAGGGAAAGGAAGACAUCACUUGGCAGAGCUUGAGUUAAUAAGAUCUCCCCAUCUUGCGAAGCCCAGGCAGGGGAUCUCCCCUGACCUGGGUGAAUUCAAGUCACCUCAGGAUCGUUGCUAGGGCGAGUGCUCAGAUGCCUGACCUAGUAUCUAAAAAAACGAGUGCUGUCAACUCCCACGUCCUGGUGCAUGCCUAAUGCCCCUCUGAGUCUCUCAGGCUCUCGGGGUGUUGCAGUUGUUGUUAUUCCCGGAGGCAGAGGAGACCCCGGCAUGCUGCAGACCCCCAGAGCCAAGGGGCAACCAGGCAGCUCCAGGUGCUGGCCCUGCCGCAGAGCUGUGUGUGGUGUCUGCCCCGGUUCUGAGUGUGCUGGCUGCAGCAGGGCUGGGUGUCCCUCUCCCCUGGCCUGACGGCACCUUGGGCGCCCAGGGUAGGAAACGGGGGGUGCCUGAAUAAUCCUUCUAUCCUGGGUUGGGUGGCUGCUGAGUGGGUAUCCCAAAGUUGGAUGGAGGUGUCUCAUCAUGUAGGUGGUUAAGCCAGGCUUCCCUCCUUCCCUUCAUCCCAACUUCACACCUUCCUACCUCCUUCUCUUCCUUUCCCUCCCUCCAUCCCUCCUGUCUCUCUCUUUAUCUUUCCUUUUCCUCUUAUUUCCUUUUCUUUUGCUUCCUGGCUCGUUUGCUUCUAGUAUCUUUCCCUGGAUAAAGAAUGUGCAAUUUAUUUCCAGAGGAAAGCAUACUUUGUUUUGUACCAAGGGAAAACAUACUCUGGGCAGAUCAGUAUUGUCCAUGAUAGGAUAAAAGAAAUAGCCUGAAUGGUACUGAUUAGAUCCCUUGUUUUCCAGAUUUAGCCAAUGGUAGCAUGUUAGGCUGGAUCAACCUCUCUGAAGAUGGACACAGUUCUGAGAUGAUCCUCUUUCCCCAACCUCCCUCUCCCCUAUUGCAUAAAGUCCGUAGCAAGGUGGUGGCUGAGGUGCACUCAGAGGCAGCUGCAGACCCACAGUCCUGCCCCUUUCCCUCUCUGGGGGAGGCAGAGCUGCUCUUCUGCAGGAAAAGUGGCAGCUCAAAUGGGAUGGACCAAAGGCUGGAGGACCUCAGGGCACCGCUUGAACCACCUGAUGGCAAUCACCCUUCCUCACAUCAGAAAUAAAAUGAAUUAAAUUGC